AGCCACUCUUGAAAUUAGACGUCAGCCACUUUUUAACAUUUAGUUAAAAAGUGGCUGACGUCUAAUUUCAAGAGUGGCU
rnacentral:miRNA from 1 species